AGUCCUGGGGGGGAACGUUUUCCCCCUUUUCUGGUUUACAAGACCAGGGUAGUGGGCGACGCACAUUACCCUGGUCUUGCUAUACCGGGCAUCUGGUUCACGCACAUAACCCUGGUCUUGCUAUACCGGGCAGUA
rnacentral:tRNA from 1 species